AUUGAACGCUGGCGGCAUGCCUUACACAUGCAAGUCGAACGGUAACGGGCCUUCGGGUGCCGACGAGUGGCGAACGGGUGAGUAAUACAUCGGAACGUGCCCGAUCGUGGGGGAUAACGAGGCGAAAGCUUUGCUAAUACCGCAUACGAUCUACGGAUGAGAGCAGGGGUCCGCAAGGCCUUGCGCGGACGGAGCGGCCGAUGGCAGAUUAGGUAGUUGGUGGGAUAAAAGCUUACCAAGCCGACGAUCUGUAGCUGGUCGGAGAGGAUGAUCAGCCACACUGGGACUGAGACACGGCCCAGACUCCUACGGGAGGCAGCAGUGGGGAAUUUUAGACAAUGGGCGCAAGCCUGAUCCAGCCAUGCCGCGUGCAGGAUGAAGGCCUUCGGGUUGUAAACUGCUUUUGUACGGAGCGAAAAGCCUUCGUUUAAUACAGGAGGGUCAUGACGGUACCGUAAGAAUAAGCACCGGCUAACUACGUG
rnacentral:rRNA from 1 species